rnacentral:rRNA from 1 species
GACGUAGGGCGCGAGCGUUGUCCGGAUUUAUUGGGCGUAAAGAGCUCGUAGGCGGCUCAUUGCGUCAACCGUGAAGACCUGCAGCUUAACUGUGGGCUUGCGGUUGAUACGGGUGGGCUGGAGUUCGGUAGGGGAGACUGGAAUUCCUGGUGUAGCGGUGAAAUGCGCAGAUAUCAGGAGGAACACCGGUGGCGAAGGCGGGUCCCUGGGCCGAUACUGACGCUGAGGAGCGAAAGCGUGGGGAGCGAACAGG